GAUGAACGCUAGCGGCAGGCCUAAUACAUGCAAGUCGAACGGGAUCCAGAUCAAAGCUUGCUUUGGUUUGGUGAGAGUGGCGCACAGGUGCGUAACGCGUGAGCAACCUACCCUUGUCAGGGGGAUAGCCCGGCGAAAGUCGGAUUAAUACCGCAUGACAUCAUUGAGAGGCAUCUUUCGAUGAUCAAAGAUUUAUCGGACAAGGAUGGGCUCGCGUGACAUUAGCUAGUUGGUAAGGUAACGGCUUACCAAGGCUACGAUGUCUAGGGGCUCUGAGAGGAGAAUCCCCCACACUGGUACUGAGACACGGACCAGACUCCUACGGGAGGCAGCAGUAAGGAAUAUUGGUCAAUGGACGGAAGUCUGAACCAGCCAUGCCGCGUGCAGGAAGACGGCCCUAUGGGUUGUAAACUGCUUUUAUACGGGAACAAACGUCGGUACGUGUACCGGUCUGAGUGUACCGUAAGAAUAAGGAUCGGCUAACUCCGUG
rnacentral:rRNA from 1 species